AUGAUCAACAUUAUGGCUAAAUCAGACCUUCCAAGAACCCUACCACCCAACACACACACACACAUACACCACCCAGCACACAUCCAAUACACACACACACCACCAAGCACACAUCCAAUACACACACACACACAAACCACCCAGCACACAUCCAAUACACACACACACAUAUACACACACCACCCAGCACACAUAUACACACACCACCCAGCCCACAUCCAAUACACACACAUACACACACCACCCAGCACACAUCCAAUACACACACACACACAAACCACCCAGCACACAUCCAAUACACACACACACACACAUAUACACACACCACCCAGCACACAUAUACACACACCACCCAGCCCACAUCCAAUACACACACAUACACACACCACCCAGCACACAUCCAAUACACACACACACACAAACCACCCAGCACACAUCCAAUACACACACACACACAUAUACACACACCACCCAGCACACAUAUACACACACCACCCAGCACACAUCCAAUACACACACAUACACACACCACCCAGCACACAUCCAAUACACACACACCAUCCAGCACACAUCCAAUACACACACAUACACACACACACAUACACCACCCAGCACACAUCCAAUACACACACACACCACCCAGCACACAUCCAAUACAUGCACAUACACACACACAUACACACACCACCCAGCACACACCCAAUACACACACAUACCACCCAGCACACAUCCAAUACACGCACAUACACACACACAUACACACACCACCCAGCACACAUCCAAUACACACACACACCACCCAGCACACAUCCAAUACACACACACAUACACACACCACCCAGCACACAUCCAAUACACACACACACACCACGCAGCACACAUCCAAUACACACACACACACCACCCAGCACACAUACACACACCACCCAGCACACACCCAAUACACACACAUACCACCCAGCACACAUCCAAUACACGCACAUACACACACACACAUACACACACCACCCAGCACACAUCCAAUACACACACACGUACCACCCAGCACACAUCCAAUACACACACACAUACACACACCACCCAGCACACAUCCAAUACACACACACAUACACACACCAUCCAGCACACAUACACACACCACCCAGCACACACCCAAUACACACACAUACCACCCAGCACACAUCCAAUACACGCACAUACACACACACAUACACACACCACCCAGCACACAUCCAAUACACACACACACCACCCAGCACACAGCCAAUACACACACGUACACACACACACCACCCAGCACACAUUCAAUACACACACACACCACCCAGCACACAUCCAAUACACACACGUACACACACACACCACCCAGCACACAUCCAAUACACACACACAUACACACACCACCCAGCACACAUCCAAAACACACACACACACACACACACACACACACACAGACACACACACACACACACCCCUCUCUUGGGUAAAAGGCAGCAGGUGAGGCCAAAAGCAUCAGAAAACUGUUAA
ensembl:lncRNA